rnacentral:lncRNA from 1 species
GUUUUAUUUAAACCCGAGAGAGAGGAGGGCCCUGCUUCCUCCACCACCCCACUGUGGUUCCCCACCAUGAACCAUGGAGGCUGAACUACAUCAAUGGGUCUCUCACCUGAAUGUAUGUGUGGGUCGCCUGGGGUUUCGCUAAGAUGCAGAUGCUGAUUCAGAAACUCCCGGUUGAGACCGAGGCUCUGCAUUGCUGACCAGGGCCCAGGUGACUCCAGGAUUGCUGUCCAGGUAAUGCCUUGGGACCAGAGCCAGGGGCCAGACAUUCUGUCCUGUCCUCCAGACCCAGCAUCCCACAGCAGGAGCACACAGCUGUGG